GACGAACGCUGGCGGCGUGCUUAACACAUGCAAGUCGAACGGAAAGGCCUCUUUCGGGGGGUACUCGAGUGGCGAACGGGUGAGUAACACGUGAGUAACCUGCCCUUGACUUUGGGAUAACUUCAGGAAACUGGGGCUAAUACCGGAUAGGAGCUCCUGCUGCAUGGUGGGGGUUGGAAAGUUUCGGCGGUUGGGGAUGGACUCGCGGCUUAUCAGCUUGUUGGUGGGGUAGUGGCUUACCAAGGCUUUGACGGGUAGCCGGCCUGAGAGGGUGACCGGCCACAUUGGGACUGAGAUACGGCCCAGACGCCUACGGGAGGCAGCAGUGGGGAAGAUUGCACAAGGGGUGGAAGCCGGAUGCAGCAACGCCGUGUGCGGGAUGACGGCCUUCGGGUUGUAAACCGCUUUCGCUCAUGACGAAGCUUUGUGUGACGGUAGUGGGUAAAGAAGCACCGGCUAACUACGUG
rnacentral:rRNA from 1 species